rnacentral:sRNA from 1 species
UCACUGAGGGUCCUGGAAUGGGUUCCGC